AUUAUAAAUUUUAAUAAUUUUAAAAAUAGAAAAUAUUAUUCUGAUAUGUAUAUAAACAAAAACUGCUAAAGAAUUGAUAGAGAAUAGAAAAAAAUACUAUUUUAAAAUUGCUAAAGAAUUGUACGAAUUGUAAAGAAUUGUAAGAGAAUAAAAGCAUACAUAUAUAGUGAUAGGAAGAAAUCGUGCGCGUGAGAUCCACUCGCGGCGAUUUCUUUCUCCCUUCUCUUUCAUCUUCUGAGCACAACUUCUUGCUUUUCCGAUGGGUCCUCCGUCGAUCCCGGCGACGAUGAGGACUCUAUGGCUCAUGGUUCUUCAACUACGCAAUAUGCUGCAUCUUCUAAGCUUCACAAACGAAUCAAAAUCAAGGGAGAAGCGAAGAGGGAUAGCUUCUGCGAGACACCGUCGAUGACUCCACCGGUGGUGUAGCGCCGCAGAAUGGAAAAGGAAGUCUUCACGGCGAAGCAUGAGAGAGAAGACGGUUAGAUCUGGAACCGGAGAUCCUGAAGGCUUCAUUAGGUCGCCGCUUGAUGGGGGAGGUUGACUCCGGUCGGGUGGAGCUAAGCCACUGUUGACGGUUCCUAGAUCUACUCCCUACCGCCUUUCAAUCUCACGUCGGAGCUUGAAGCUUUCUCGACACCAACAGCUCAGUUUCUUCCUCUUCCUCAAAGUUUCUCUACGGUGGCGGAGAGGCAAACGGAUCUUGGAUCACCUCCUCCGUUCGAUCCGCGUCGUCCAGGUACACCGGAGGUCCGGUCGGUGUGCAUCCGCAGUUGUGGACGGCGGCUGCGACGCGUUUUGCGUUGUAUAUUAGGGUUUCUGUGGGUACCGGUUAAUUUUGGUACUCCAAAACCGGAUCGGUUUUGUUUCAGUUUGGUUUAGUUUGGUUAGAUGUUGGAUUGGGCCCUAUGGCUAUGGGGUUAUUGUAUGGGCUUAUUCCGGAAAUAUGUAAGCCCAUUGGGCAUUAUUAUUUAAAUUUCAAGCCUUUUCAAAAAAAAAAACAUACAUAUAUAAAGAUUUGCUUUUAAAAUUUUAAAACUAUUAUAAUUUUCUUGACAUGUGUAGACUUGACACUCGUAUAUUAUGCCUUACAUUCUAAUUUUUCUUUGCAAGUUUCUAUGGUGUCAUCGGCCCAAACCCGUCCCUCAAUUCAACUUAUAAAAG
rnacentral:lncRNA from 1 species